rnacentral:tRNA from 1 species
ACCUUUAGCUCAGUUGGUUAGAGCAGUCGGCUCAUAACCGAUCGGUCCCGGGUUCGAGUCCCGUAACCUCC